CUAUUACUGCAAGCACAUCUCCAUAAUGCUGAGAAAAUCUGUCAUCUAUGACAGGCUUCUUUCUAGAUUAAACAUGUUACAGAGAGUGUACCAACUUCUGGUAUUCAAUAGCGAGCUUUCUUCUGCCUCCUCUCCACCCUUCCCUUCACCUGAGGGUGGAAGUGGCCUGCAUGGAUGAAGAACAAGAGCAGGUAAUGUGGUGGUGUAGCCCUUUGGAGAACCUUUGUGAAGAGUUAGUGCCUGGAGUGGAUGAGAAUGGGACAGCAGACAGGGGCCUUCCUCUGAACGCAUUUGAUGUUUCCUGGCAGGACCAGUCUGAAGGACAAAGUGGAGCUGGAUGUGUUCUGCUCUUCUAACAGGUAAAGCUGCAUCCAUCCAAUGCAAGAUGUGAUGCCUGACUUUUCUGGUGGUUCCCUACGCAUCCCUGAUGUGGGAAGAUGAUGAUAUGCUGGAAAUGCACCAGAGGGAUACGUUCCUGAUUUGGAGUCCUGGAGAUAUGGACUAUGAAGGUGAGUUACUAGCAUCCUCAGACCCUCUAGAUCUCAAGCCUGGGAAUGAACCUGAGAAGAUAAUGCCCGCAUAUGACCAGAGAAGAAACAAUGAGAGGGCUACCUGCCUGUGCUGAAGGACCAAUUGCCCUACUCUGAAGAGCAAGAUCCUGAGACACAGAGCUUGUUUAAUUUCUGCUCGAUCCCCAGCAGAUGUGAGAGUGACAGAUGGAGAAGUAUUCAGUGACUCUUGGAAGCCUUUAAGAGACAACAGAUGCCUCCUAACUGUAGAUGAAUUUCUCAGAGGUGCAGAACAAAAGGACAAAAGAGAACAAGGAGCCAGCCCUGCUUUAUCAAGGUACUGAUGCAAACUGGAGCUGCAAAGGCAGAGCAGGCUGUGCUUGGGACGCCUGCAAACAUAAAAGAAGAUGCAGAGAAGGAAUGGACAAAGAAGUGAACCCGGGGACACAAUGUGCCUCGGGAAAUGCUGCCAGCUGUCUGCCCCUGUCCUAUCCUGCCCUGCCACAGUCCUGCUCCGUAUUCCCAAGUGCUCAUUUGACUCAUGCAAAAACUUUUGUCUUUACCCCUUAUGGCUAUUUAAGACUUAAAUGUUGAACAGCAGUUCUGGUUCAGAUAUUUAUCUUCUCAGCUAUAAAUAAAAUAGGGAUACUUGCUGUGUUGAGAAAAGGUUUAGAUUAUAUAGGCAGACCUUCUGUUUGGUAAAAACACAAAAAAUGUUGGGUAAAGAAUAGCUGUUAAUCCUGUAAAUGAGAUAAUGUACAGAGAUAAUCUAGGUGUGUGUGUAUGUACAUUUGUGUGUAAUCCCACUGCAGCCCUCCACUGGGACCAGACUCCUUUGCAGUCUUACAGUAACUCUAUUGGAAUGAGAAAACAAUGGGAAGUAUUGUUUUCUAGCAAUAUUUUAGCACAGUAAAGUAAAUACUUCAGCAAGUAUUUACUAGCAGGAAUACUAUUACCAUGUUUA
ensembl:lncRNA